CAAUACAGCAUUAGUCUCAAGUUGAAUACUUUUAAAGCAUUUUACAUCUUCACUUGAACAGAACUCCGUGGUGACCAUGAAACUACUAUUCCUAGUGAUGUGCCUGAUUGGACUUUGUUCUUCCAUUCCUGUGUCUGAGGAACAUGAUCGAGAGGAGCGCUCAGCUAGCAAUGAGAGGUACAGGGGUUAUGGCCGUGGUUUGGGAAGGUUUU